rnacentral:lncRNA from 1 species
CAAUAUCAGAAGAGACAUUGGCCGUAGACAACCAGGACAACAGACCAGCUGAAAAUGGGCCCUUACAUCCGAUGGUGACAACAUAUCUACUGCGGGCCUGAUGCUGUGUCAAUGCAUUAUCCUGCUGGGCUAGCUCGUUUGAUCUUCAGAAUAACUCUGUGAGGAAGGUACUUGAUCAUCCUCCAGUUAGAGAGGAGAACUGGGGCCUUAGGGGAUUGCGUGCCUCUCCCACGUUCACAAAGCAAGUUAGUAGCCAAGCCAGGCCUUGCACUAAGGCCCGACUGGCCUGAGCCUGGUUCUUCAUUUGUUUCUUGAAGUAUGAUUAACAUACAGUAUAUUAGUUUCAGGCGAACUCAUAGUGAUUGAACACUUGUAUACAGUGAGAGAUGAUCAUUACAGUAAGGCUGGUUACUGUCUCUCACCUCUCAAAGUUAGUGCAAUAUUAUUGACUAUAGUCCGCAAGCUGUACAUUACAUCUCCAUGACUUAUUUAAUUUAUAACUCCAAGUUUGUAACUCUUAAUCCACUUUACUCAUUUCACCUCUCCCUCAGGCUCCCCGUGCCCCCCGCCCCCCCCCCCCGCCCUGCGACCAUCGACCUGCUGUCUGUGUCCAUGAGUCUGGCUUUGUUUUGUUUUGCUUGUUUGUCUAGCUCUUAACCACCGUGCUGAGCCAGCUCCGAAAACUUGAAAGGUUACCAUGUAAGGCUGCCGUUAGCUGAGAACACAUCGCCCGUGUGCUGGCUGACAAGUCCUCAGUCCUGGAGGCACCGUGAACACUUGGCCACUUUGAGAUUUGUCUAGACCCUAAAAUCAGACAAAUGAAAACACCGCUUCUGCUCAUGGAAGACGUCAUUAGUCUUCCCAAUAGGAAAAAAAUGAUCUGCAGCCCAGAGAUGAAACGAGAGGCCAAGGCGCUCCUGUUCAUCUGUCCAUGUGGGGCCCAGGGGACAGCCAGCCUGCAGUGCAGCCUGGACUGGCCCAGCUCUUCAUCCACAAUUGACCGUGAUGAGCUGGACAGCCUGUGUCUGCACAUGUUCAGUCAAGAGGGCGUUUGUGGACGUUCUCCAGGUAAAUCUGGAUGGAAGAGAUUUUGGAGAAGUAGGCAUGUCACAGGGCAUCACUGCUUCCACAGCAUGAAAGCUGACCUGGUUUUUCAUUUCUCUUUACUUGUGUCCAGAGCCCACACUGGAGCCAGUGUCCAGAAGUCUCCACUUCCACAGACAAGGGGUUCCAGGGCCUGGGUUUUCCAUCUGGCUCUGUCACUAGUUGAAACAGGAUCUGUAGACUAAUGGGGGCUCUAAUGGUUUCCAGGCUCUAUCAGUAAUGGGGUGGCCUGGCUGUCCUGCAUUUCCAUGUGAAAAAUGGAGGAGAUACAGGAAGAAAUGACGAAUGACAAGUGACUCCUAUUAUUCAUAGCCAAAGCUCUAGGCAAUUAAACCAAAAAUGGGGGAAAAAUGUUCUUAAAGAUGUUAUUAACAGAGCAACAUUUUGAGUUUCCCAACUUAUGUUACAUUUUUCCUUAAUCCUGGAGAGAACGGACAGGUCAUGGCAGACUCUGAGGCUGGCCUCCCAACAGCUGUUUCACCUUUCUGUCUUUUCUUACAGGAUAUUGACUUGUUUAGGUGUUGAGCUACAACUCUGUUUAAGAAAGGGGUAAAGUGACUCUGCAGCUCCAGAGGGCUCAUUCUGAUUGGUCCCAGCCGAUCAUCAUUAUUUCAUUCACCUCUCCAGGGAUUGGCCAGAACUAGGUCAUAUGCCCACUCUUAAACAAAUAAAUGAUGUAGGAGCACGUGACCCA